GACGAACGCUGGCGGCGUGCCUAAUACAUGCCAGUAGAACGCACAGUUUAUACCGUAGCUUGCUACACCAUAGACUGUGAGUUGCGAACGGGUGAGUAACGCGUAGGUAACCUGCCUGGUAGCGGGGGAUAACUAUUGGAAACGAUAGCUAAUACCGCAUAAUAUUAAUUAUUGCAUGAUAAUUAAUUGAAAGGUGCAAUUGCACCACUACCAGAUGGACCUGCGUUGUAUUAGCUAGUAGGUGAGGUAACGGCUCACCUAGGCGACGAUACAUAGCCGACCUGAGAGGGUGAUCGGCCAAACUGGGACUGAGACACGGCCCAGACUCCUACGGGAGGCAGCAGUAGGGAAUCUUCGGCAAUGGACGAAAGUCUGACCGGGCAACGCCGCGUGAGUGAAGAAGGUUUUCGGAUCGUAAAGCUCUGUUGUAAGAGAAGAACGGGUGUGAGAGUGGAAAGUUCACACUGUGACGGUAUCUUACCAGAAAGGGACGGCUAACUACGUG
rnacentral:rRNA from 1 species